UUAAUGUAAUAAAGAAUUACACAGUCCUUCGUAAUCGAACGUUUUUGAGGUAAAAUAUUAGGACGCUAAGUGGAAUGUUUGAGAUAUUUGAAUUUCUUGAAAUUGUGUAGCUGACGAGAAUCAACUCGUUUUACCAUUUUUCAAUUGUUGUCUUUAAAAAUAAUAUUGAUUAUUAGAGAAAUUAGUCCUCAUACUUGAAAACAUUGGUUUGUUCUAUUUUAUCCAAAAAUACCAAGUUCAUCCCGAAGUAUUAGUUGUUUUUAAACGCUCGGACGAGUGCUACAUGAACAUUUUUCAACAGUUAUCUAGCAAUAAUACAUUUAGACGCCUUUUUACAAUUCGCACAUUGUUGUGUCACCUUCAAUUUAAUUUACCGGAGGAGCUUUGUUUCAGAGAAUGAAAGUAUUGUAGCAUAGACAA